GACGAACGCUGGCGGCGUGCCUAAUACAUGCAAGUCGAGCGAAGUGGCGGAUGGGUGAGUAACGCGUGGGUAACCUGCCCUUAAGUCUGGGAUUCAUUUUGCAAACGGAUGCUAAUACCGGAUACUAAAGGAUGGACCUGGGAUGCAUUAGCUAGUUGGUAAGGUAACGGCUGACCAAGGCGAUGAUGCAUAGCCGGGUUGAGAGGCUGAUCGGCCACACUGGGACUGAGACACGGCCCAGACUCCUACGGGAGGCAGCAGUAGGGAAUCUUCCACAAUGGACGAAAGUCUGAUGGAGCCACGCCGCGUGAGUGAAGAAGGUUUUCGGAUCGUAAAGCUCUGUUGUUGGGGAAGCGGUAAUCAACCAGAAAGUCACGGCUAACUACGUGCCAGCAGCCGCGGUAAUAC
rnacentral:rRNA from 1 species